rnacentral:rRNA from 1 species
AACCUCCGCAAUGUGAGAAAUCGCGACGGGGGGAUCCCAAGUGCCAUUCUUAACGGGAUGGCUUUUCAUUAGUGUAAAGAGCUUUUGGAAUAAGGGCUGGGCAAGACCGGUGCCAGCCGCCGCGGUAACACCGGCAGCUCUAGUGGUAGCAGUUUUUAUUGGGCCUAAAGCGUCCGUAGCCGGUUUAAUAAGUCUCUGGUGAAAUCCUGUAGCUUAACUGUGGGAAUUGCUGGAGAUACUAUUAGGCUUGAGACCGGGAGAGGUUAGAGGUACUCCCAGGGUAGAGGUGAAAUUCUGUAAUCCUGGGAGGACCGCCUGUUGCGAAGGCGUCUAACUGGAACGGUUCUGACGGUGAGGGACGAAAGUUAGGGGCGCGAACCGGAUUAGAUACCCGGGUAGUCCUAACUGUAAACGAUGCGGACUUGGUGUUGGGGUGGCUUUGAGCUGCUCCAGUGCCGAAGGGAAGCUGUUAAGUCCGCCGCCUGGGAAGUACGGUCGCAAGACUGAAACUUAAAGGAAUU